rnacentral:tRNA from 4 species
GGCCUGGUCGUCUAGCGGUUUAGGACGCCGCCCUCUCAAGGCGGAGAUCGGGAGUUCGAAUCUCCUCCAGGCUACCA